GCAAGGCGUCGACGGGUAAGGGACCUGAGAGGGUGGCCCCUCACAAUGGAACUGAAACACGGUCCAUACACCUACGGGUGGCAGCAGUAGGGAAUAUUGCACAAUGGACGAAAGUCUGAUGCAGCAACGCCGCGUGUACGAUGAAGGCCUUCGGGUCGUAAAGUACUUUUCAGGGAGAUGAGAAAGGACAGUACCCCUGGAAUAAGUCUCGGCUAACUACGUGCCAGCAGCCGCGGUAAAACGUAGGAGGCGAGCGUUAUCCGGAUUUACUGGGUGUAAAGCGCGUGCAGGCGGUUUGAUAAGUUGGAUGUGAAAGCUCCUGGCUCAACUGGGAGAGGUCGUUCAAAACUAUCAGACUAGAGAGUGGUAGAGGAAAGUGGAAUUCCCGGUGUAGUGGUGAAAUGCGUAGAUAUCGGGAGGAACACCAGUGGCGAAGGCGGCUUUCUGGACCAUUUCUGACGCUAAGACGCGAAAGCUAGGGUAGCAAACGGGAUUAGAGACCCCGGUAGUCCUAGCAGUAAACGAUGUGAACUUGGCGUUGGUGGUGUAAAAACCAUCAGUGCCGAAGCUAACGCGAUAAGUUCACCACCUGGGAACUACGGCCGCAAGGUUAAAACUCAAAGGAAUUGACGGGUCCCCGCACAAGCAGCGGAGCGUGUGGUUUAAUUCGAUGUUACACGAAGAACCUUACCCGGGUUUGACAUACAAGUGGUAGUGAAGCGAAAGCGGAACGACCCUUCGGGGAGCUUGAACAGGUGCUGCAUGGCUGUCGUCAGCUCGUGUCGUGAGAUGUCCGGUUAAGUCCGGUAACGAGCGCAACCCUCGCCGUAUGUUACAAGUGUCAUACGGGACCGCCGGUAUCAAGCCGGAGGAAGGUGGGGAUGACGUCAAGUCAGCAUGGCCUUUAUAUCCGGGGCUACACACACGCUACAAUGGCCGGUACAAUAGGUUGCUAAGCCGCGAGGUAGAGCCAAUCCUCAAAGCCGGUCUCAGUUCAGAUCGCAGGCUGCAACUCGCCUGCGUGAAGUUGGAGUUGCUAGUAAACGCGCGUCAGCUAUAGUGCGUUGAAUACGUUCCCGGGGAUUGUACACACCGCCCGUCACGUCAUGGGAGCUGGCAACACCUGAAGUCAGUAGUCUAACCGCAAGGAGGGCGCUGCCGAAGGUGGGGUUGGUGACUGGGACGAAGUCGUAACAAGGUA
rnacentral:rRNA from 1 species